GGAAGGUUGGCAGAGUGGUCGAAUGCACCGGUCUUGAAAACCGGCAGGGGCGCAAGCCCCUCCAGGGUUCGAAUCCCUGACCUUCCGCCA
rnacentral:tRNA from 1 species